rnacentral:lncRNA from 1 species
UCCCUCUCAUUAUCCUCCUCGAUCUCCGAUCACCAAAACUUUUAAAGUGAUUUUCUGUGUUUUUUUCUUUUAUCUCCUUGAAUUAUUCUACCAGAAAUUAAGCUCCCCUUCUCUUCCAAAGAAAAUGGGAAGUGUCAACCAUCAAAACUUUGAAUCCAAUUUUAGCCACUCCAGCCAUGUCCACCCUCUCAAGCUAGCAACUAAGUUGUUAGCCCCUGUUGUUUCUUUUCUGUCAUAUUUUCUUAUUCUUCUCUGCUUCCUUUCAUAUCCAACUUCAUGCAAUUCCCCAGCUUCAAUAUUGACAAGAGCUACGUGUUCCUCCUCUGCAAUGGCAUUCUAGUUUUAAUUGUGAAGAACUCUGGUCUCAAAAUCAGCGAUUCUCAUCUAGACAGCAGUGCCAACCUCUAUGGAGAACAGAGCAUGAAGAGCGGAGACAGUCCACAUAAACUAGAUCAAGUAUCAGAGAUCACGAAACCAGCAUUGGUCGCAGAGGAAAAGGUUGUCGUGGAAGUGGAAGAAGUACGAGAAGAUGAACAAGGAGGUCAUGAGAUCAUUGUUGUUGAUGAAGAUGAAGAGGUAGAGGUAGAGGAAGAGGAAGUAAUUGGGUUGCUUAGUACAGAGGAAUUGAACAAGAAAUGUGAUGAUUUUAUAAAAAAGAUGAGAGACGACAUCAAAUUUGAAGCUCAACAACUUAUCAUGGUUCGAUAUUAAUCAUGGUUAAACAUAAAAGAACUAAAGACUUCCUAGCUUAUGAUGCCUAUGACUGUCUGUUUCAUUUUCUUUUUUUUUUCUUUCUCCCCCCAUACUUUGAAUUUAUUUUCCCCGGAAAUCUCCUGCUCGGCAGUCUUUAGUUUCCGGUAGGUUAAUUUUACUUCUGAGACGUGCUUGAUUCAAAAGCACUAGGCUUGUUAGCCAUUGUUUACUGCUUUCUUCUUCCAAUAUAGUAAGUACUAUUAUUUUUCUUUCUGAAGAAAAAAAGAAAGAAUGAAGAAUCCAAUACCCUCUUCUUUUUUUUAACAUAAUAGCAUGUGUAUGCUUUCUAACAAUGUUCAAUUAAAUUUAUUAGCAAAAUUAAAAUGGAAUUUGAGGUAUAACAAAAGAAAGUCACUUCAUGCUAUAUUUAAACUUCAUGCUUUUUUGAUAUGUUUUUGUAGUUAAAAAAAAUCUUAUAAAAAUAAAAACGUUUAUGCAUAUAUGUAAUUAAAUAAAUUGAGAACUAUGUGUGUAUUAAUAAAUGAAAAAAAGUUAUAAACAAUAACAAAAAAUAAAACAUGAAAAAUCAAGAGACAGAUAUAGAUCAAAAUAUUUAAUCUCAUAGGACGAAACAUUUAUUUAGUUGUGUUUGCUAAGUUUGUUAAUUAAAAUAUUUUUUUAUUUAAUCAAACAAUAAUAAAAAUAGACACGCAUAUUAAAUUGAUUGAAUAAAAUAAAAUGAAAAGAAAAACUAUGCAAUGCUACACAUAUUAAAAAUAUCAUUUGAAAAUAAAUAUAUUUUAUUUUUAAAAAUUAAGUUCAUCUAUAUAAAUUAUUAAAAAACAAAUUAUAGAUGAAUGGGGAAAACAUAAAAAAUUAAAUGCAGUCAAAAAAAAAACUAUCAUUUAAAAGAGGCUUUAUAAACAGAAUAAAAGAGAAAAUGAAUAUUAGUCUAAAUAUAAAUAAAAAGUAAUUUUGAAAAAAAAUAUUAAAAAAAUAUUAUUUAAAAAAAUUAGUAAACAAAUUUACAAAAAAAAAAGGGUCAUGCGCUCCUGAGUCUACCAAGCUAAGCCAGCCAGUUAGGCCCACUAUGUAAGGGUCGAUGCUUAGGCCUGUUGGGAGGUUCGCGCACUUGGGCCUUUUCUUUUGUUCCUUCAAGUCGUUUGCCCUAAUUGUUUUAAUAUAUAUAAAAAUGAUGGCAUGCCGUUUGAUUUUUCUAUAAUUUGGCCACCAUUAUGGCUAAAAAAUCAAGGCAGAAGGUUUUGAAAUCAAAAACCUAUUUUCAAUCCAUUUAUUUUUACCCAAAGCACCUUAACAAUCAUAAAAAGUUAAAAAAUCACCAAAUACAAACUCCACCUUAACAAUGAAUUUACGUUCUAGAAGACAACCACGCGUUUUAGUUAUAGUUAAUUUAAGGGCCUAUUUGAGAAUAUAGUAGAAGUAACGGUUCAAAAUGUUUUUCUUUUAAAAAUAAAUUAAAAUAAAAUAUAUUUAUUUAAAAAAAUAUAUUUUUGAUAUUAGCAUUCAGCCCAUUAAAAUAAUUUAAAAAUAUAAAAAGAUCAUUUUAAAUAAAAAUAAAAUAAAAUAAAAUAUUUAUAAACACGGUACGCCACCGUAAUAGCGGCCGCGUAUUUUCCUGAACGUACAAGAAGGUGCACUCGAACCAGACUGUGGGAGCUUGAUUUACGGGGGAUUGGAAUUGGUCCGGUGCUAUGAAACAUUCGAAGGUAAACUAGUUCCGCUCCAAAGAAUUGUCAAGCUUGCUAACUAGAAAAAAAGGAUCUUUUACUAGUUAUACCUCUGCACUUUUCCUCUUCCAAAAAACAAGCAUUGCCUCACGUAUCUUUUACUAGUUAUACCUCUAGCAACCACCACUAUGCGCCCACCUAUUUAAAUUAAUUAUACGGGGAAUUUUGAUAUAUUCACAUUAAAAUUAUAUAAUAUUCAUUUCCAUUUUAUUGUAACUAUUAAUUUGUCCUUAUAAUUUAUUUGAUUUUUUUUUUUUAUGAAAAUAGUUAUUCCAUUGAUGAUAUAAAUUAAAAAAAAAAAAUGCAUUGCCGUCUUUGUGGUGCCAUGCUAUAUUGAAAAAACUGGACGAAACUCUUUUAGAGUAAUGAUGAACAGUGACUUUCCAGGUAAAAAAUAAUCUCUUCUCGGACUAUGUCAAAACUUUACUAAAACUUUCUGACGAGGACUGUCCAAAAAGCAUAAAUCAUAUAAAAGCGUUUUGGAUAACAUAUAAUAUUAAAUAAUAAGGGCAUUUUAGAUAUAAAAUAAGUUUUUGAAGUCUUGUAUUUUUUUUUCCCUCUAUAAAGAUUGCUAUAGUCAAAGGUAUAAUUUACUUUGAAUCUAUAGUAAAAUUAUUUAUUUAUUAUUAAAUAGAGAGAGAAAAAGCCUGAAAGUGUUGAUCUUUUUCACUUACCCAUUUAUUAUUAAAAAAAACUACUGCUUUAUCCUUAAAGUUAAUGAAAAUUAUAGCUAUUAAUCAAAGUUUUUUUUUUCUUUUUUUUACUUCUCAUAAACUUUUAAACAAUAAAAAUAUUUCUUUACCUCUAUAGUCAUGCGUUGUUAGAUAAGGGUAUUUUUUAUUUUUUUUCAUUAUUCAUGUACAAUUAAAAUAUGCUUUUACCCUUGAAAAAGACAAAAAAUAAGGUUUGUAUUUGAGGUAUUUUUAUAUUUUCAUACCAGUUUUUACAUUAAUUACCAUAGUAAUGAGGGCGUUUUGGUAUUUUCAUAUUGAUUUUUUAAUAAAAAAAAUUGUUAUCACAUAAGGUGACACCCACAUCAUUCAGGUGGUGCGUGUUACACUACCUAGUAGCCAAACUUAACCUUUCACCAUCUUUUUGGAUACGCCACUAUGUUCUCUUACACAUAGUGUGGUGUGUGAUAUCGUAUUGUGAUCGGAUUGUUAUCAGCGAUUUUUUAUCCCCUUUUUUUUUUGUUGCUAAGUAAAGUGCAUGCUUGUUGUUUUUUUUUUAUUUUUCAAUUUCAAUCCUUAUUAUUUUAACUCUUAUUCUGUUUUUAUUCCUUUUAUAGAAGUUUUUUUUUAAUUUAGUCAUUCAAUUACAAUUUCUCAUAUGUUUUAUUUUUCAUUUCGGUCCUUAUUCUUUUGAUUUUUAAUUUUUUUCAUUGUCUUUUUUGUUAAAGUUUUUCUAGCUUUAAAUUUCAUACUUUAAUCAGAUUUUUUUCUUGUUUUAUUUUUACUAAUUUGACUCUCAUUCUUUUGAUAUGUUUUUCUAUUUGUUAAAGCUAUUUUUUCAAUUUGAUUUAACCUUUCGAUUGAAAUCUUUUGUUUUUCAAUCAGAUUUUUUUCACUUUGAAAAGAUUUAUAACUCAUAGCGGAACACGGGUUAGAUAGCUAGUAGUAUUAACAAAUUUUAAAAAUUUUAGAUACCUUAAUAAAGUCUCUCAAUUGUUAUUUCUCCUUGGAAAAAUAAGUAAUUGGAAUAUGGUGUGGUAAAUGAAGAGCUUGUUUAGUAUCGUGGUAAAAAUUAUAUUUCAAAGUGUUUUUUUUAUUUAAAAUGCAUGUAAAUAAUGUUUUUUUUUAAAUUUAUUUUUAAUACUGGCACAUAUAAAGAUUCUAAAUAUAUAAAUAAAAUUAAUUUAAAGCAAAACAAUAAAUUUUUUUUUUCAAAAACAUUUCUUAAACAUAAAAAAAUAAAUAAGCUCAAAAAAAUAGCAGGCAACAAAGUAUUCGAACAUGGGAAUCAUGCACGAACACUAGGGGGAGACCAGGGUGGUUACUGGUAAGAUUAAUUGAAUUCCUUACAUUAAAAGAAAAAAAAAAGAGUUGAAAUGAGAUGAGAUGAUAAAUGAAUUCCUGGUGCCUUCUUAAAUAAUAGAAGAUACACAUGAGACAUGUUUUUAAAAAUAAUAUUUGUUAUUUUCUUAUUUUUAAAAUAUUUUUGUAAAAAAAAUUAAUUCUAAAAUUAUAUAAAUAAAACAUGUAAAGAUAAUAGUGAUUAUUAUCAUAAUUUUAAAACUUAACUGAGAAUAAGUACUAGGUUACGGGUCGGGUAGGACAACCUAGAUUGACAUAUUAUUUUUUUAAAAUAAAAAUAAUAUCAUUUUAAUAAAAAAAAUAUUUUUCAAAACAAAAAUCAACAGCCUUUUGAUUUAUAUUUUACCUCGAAUUUACCGAAUCAUUGGUUGACUUAGACUUUCGAUUGGGUUAAGCCAUACAAUUUGUUUUUUUUUUCAAAAACCUAGACCAUUCUAGGUAUUGAGUUAUUAUACUCUUGUUAAUUUCAACCCUCAAUAAAAAUUAAAAUAAAAAAAUAAUGAUAUCUAAUUCUUUCUUUUAAUGUGUAAGUUUAAUAGUAAUAUAUAUCAAUGAUAAAAUGAACCUUUUUAUAUUUUAUUCAUCUUGUUUAUUAUCAACUAAUCAUGAUAUAGAGACAAUUAUUUUAUCCUAUAUAUUAUUAUCAAAUACUUUUUUAGUUUCAUUUUUUUUAUUUUCAUGUCUAUGAGAGAAUAACAAAAAAUUAUCUAAUUACCAAAUUGAUGAAUUUCCUUGUUGAAUUAUGAGUAGGAUUAUUAGGAGUGAUCAUUUUCGGUUCGGUUCGGUUUUUAUAAAAAAAAUAACCAAACCAAAUUUUUUUUAAAAAAAACCAAAACUAAACUGAAACCGGUUCAAACCAACCGAUUUCGGUUCGGUUUGAUUUUUAGGACAAAACCGGUUUAGCUCGGUUUUUUUCUAGUUCGGUUUGGUUUUUCGGUUUAAGGCUUAUAAAACCGAAACCGAACCGGUCGAUUUUUUUAAAAUUUUAAUCGGUUUUUCUUCAUGAUUCUGUUUUUUCAUGAUUCUGUUUUUUCUAUUAUUUUUUUUUCUAGUUUUCUCUGUUUAAUCAAUUUUUAAAAUUUUUUUACUCACUUUUAAUCAUAGUUUUAAAACCCGGACCGGCCCGGCAGGUCAACCCGGGACCCGGCCGACCCGGGCAUGGAACCGGUCCGGGUGGAGGCCAAAACCCGGUUGGGAAUUGACCCGGCCAGACCCGGUUGACCCGGGACCCGGCAAGACCCGGCCUUAAACCCGUUGACUUUUAUUUUUUUUUUAUUUUUUUUAUUUUUUUACUAAAACGACGUCGUUUUGAUUUUAAAAAAAAAAUAUUUGACCCGGCGACCCGGUCAAGACCCGGUGACCCGGGCCUUGGACCGGGCCGACCAUCAGGCCGGGUCUUAAAACUAUACUUUUAAUACCUACCCUGCAAUAGCGCCAUGUAGAAGAUCUACCAUAGAAAAUAUCAAAGUAAGCCAAUUUAAUGUGCUAUUUUAAUUAAAGCAUUCUGAUGCAGUUACAUUUAAUUUCCCAAAUAAAAUCUUCAAAGUUUCACCACGUCAAUAACUGCUGCUCGAUCACUAUGGAACCAAACAAUUUUAUAUAUCCAGCAUUAGUAAACUAACCAAUUGACCGGCAUCUGUCUUUCUUUUGUUUUUUUUUUGGAUUUUGAAAUUAAUAUAUAAUAUUAUUUUUUUAAAAGACACCAUACCUCAUAUUAUUAAGAUUAUUCGAAUAAAAAUCUUAAUUUUAAUUUUUAUUAAAAACGUAUUUGGUAGUAUAGUAACAGUUGCUUUUCAAAUAAUUUUUCGUGCUAAAAUACAUGUUAAUAAUAUUUUUUUAUUUUUAAAAAUUAUUUUUGAUAUUAGUAUAUCGAAAUGAUUCAAAAAAUACAAAUUACAUUAAAUUUUAACCAAAAAAAAUUUGAAAAUGGAGAAGAUGCAUGGAAAUAGAGCAAGGAUUAUUCCUAGCCUAACAAUGGCAGGCACAGUAAAAUUCAAAUGCAAUGAUUACAGUCAAGUCAAUAGAAAAGGGUUUGUAAACGUUGCUUUACCGCGUUUUUUAAAAAUUAAAAAAUAAUUUUUUUAUAUAUUUUAAAUUAUAUUUAUACUUUAAUUUUAAAAAUAAAAAAAUAUAUUAUUUUAAUACAUUUUGAUAUAAAAAACACUGUAAAAAAACAAUUACAACUAAACUUCUAAACAAGCUAUAUAUUUGUUAUUGUGUUCUAAAAAAGGUGGGAUAAAAUUUAUUUAUUUUUAUUUUAAAUUAGUUUUUUUUAAUAAAAUAUUUUGACAUUAAUCAAAUUAACCUAGUUACCUGGUCUCCUGUAGCAAGCCAAACUUUUUGACAUUUUGUCAAUUGAAAUCAUUUUGGCAGCGAACUAGAAGAGUUGAAUAUUACCAAUUAAAGCCUGCCAAUAUAUAGUUCUCCGGCAAAUCACAGCUUCCAUGAAAGUGCUUGCCGAUCACCUUGAAAAUACCGAGACAGGCCACGAGUCUCUUAGAAGAAUCGGAUGAUAUCCCAGAUGGAGAUUUUACCUUCUCGGUUAAAAAAAAUUAUAGAGCGUGUUGCAGUGAUUGUUUUUAUUUUAAAAUAUAUUAAAAUAAUAUAUUUUUUUAAAUUUUUUUAACAAUAUUUCUAAUCACACUGUUAGAAACAGUACAGUCCAGUCUCUAGAUGAGCAGUUACAGACCAAAAGAAAUAAGUAGUUGACUGACUUGGUCAGAACCAUUAACAUCGGCUACCUUUUGAGGCUCUAUAAAUUGAAGUGCUCACUAUCUUCUUUAGCCUGGAAUAGCAGUCCCUCUCAUUAUCCUCCUCGAUCUCCGAUCACCAAAACUUUUCAAGUGAUUUUCUGUUUUUUUUCUUUUAUCUCCUUGAAUUAUUCUACCAGAAAUUAAGCUCCCCUUCUCUUCCAAAGAAAAUGGGAAGUGUCAACCAUCAAAACUUUGAAUCCAAUUUUAGCAACUCCAGCCAUGUCCACCCUCUCAAGCUAGCAACUAAGUUGUUAGCCCCUGUUUGUUUCUUUUCUGUCAUAUUUUCUUAUUCUUCUCUGCUUCCUUUCAUAUCCAACUUCAUGCAAUUCCCCAGCUUCAAUAUUGACAAGAGCUACGUGUUCCUCCUCUGCAAUGGCAUUCUAGUUUUAAUUGUGAAGAACUCUGGUCUCAAAAUCAGCGAUUCUCAUCUAGACAGCAGUGCCAACCUCUAUGGAGAACAGAGCAUGAAGAGCGGAGACAGUCCACAUAAACUAGAUCAAGUAUCAGAGAUCACGAAACCAGCAUUGGUCGCAGAGGAAAAGGUUGUCGUGGAAGUGGAAGAAGUACGAGAAGAUGAACAAGGAGGUCAUGAGAUCAUUGUUGUUGAUGAAGAUGAAGAGGUAGAGGUAGAGGAAGAGGAAGUAAUUGGGUUGCUUAGUACAGAGGAAUUGAACAAGAAAUGUGAUGAUUUUAUAAAAAAGAUGAGAGACGACAUCAAAUUUGAAGCUCAACAACUUAUCAUGGUUCGAUAUUAAUCAUGGUUAAACAUAAAAGAACUAAAGACUUCCUAGCUAUAUGAUGCCUAUGACUGGUCUGUUUUUCAUUUUCUUUGCAUAAUUUCUUAUCUCCCCCCUAACUUUGAUUUUCCCCGGAAAUCUCCUGCUCGGCAGUCUUUAGUUUCCGGUAGGUUAAUUUUACUUCUGAGACGUGCUUGAUUCAAAAGCACUAGGCUUGUUAGCCAUUGUUUACU